UACAGAGGUCUCAAGCGUUGUUCGGAAUCACUGGGCGUAAAGGGCGCGUAGGCGGUUCGGUAAGUCCUGUGUGAAAUCCCCUCGGCUCAACUGAGGAACUGCACGGGAGACUGCCGGGCUUGAGUUCGGGAGAGGGAAGCGGAAUUCCGGGUGUAGCGGUGAAAUGCGUAGAUAUCCGGAGGAACACCGGUGGCGAAGGCGGCUUCCUGGACCGACACUGACGCUGAGGCGCGAAAGCUAGGGGAGCAAACGGGG
rnacentral:rRNA from 1 species